rnacentral:rRNA from 1 species
UACAGAGGGUGCGAGCGUUUGUCCGGAAUCACUGGGCGUAAAGGGCGCGUAGGUGGUGGCUUAAGCGUGCGGUGAAAGCUCGGGGCUCAACCCCGAGUCGGCCGUGCGAACUGGGCUCACUGGAGCAUAGUAGAGGCAGGUGGAAUUCCGGGUGUAGCGGUGGAAUGCGUAGAGAUCCGGAAGAACACCGGUGGCGAAGGCGGCCUGCUGGGCUAUGGCUGACACUGAGGCGCGACAGCGUGGGGAGCAAACAGG